CCUACGGGGGGCAGCAGUGAGGAAUAUUGGUCAAUGGACGAGAGUCUGAACCAGCCAAGUAGCGUGAAGGAUGACUGCCCUAUGGGUUGUAAACUUCUUUUAUAUGGGAAUAAAAUGUUCCACGUGUGGGAUUUUGUAUGUACCAUAUAAAUAAGGAUCGGCUAACUCCGUGCCAGCAGCCGCGGUAAUACGGAGGAUCCGCGCGUUAUCCGGAUUUAUUGGGUUUAAAGGGAGCGUAGGUGGAUUGUUAAGUCAGUUGUGAAAGUUUGCGGCUCAACCGUAAAAUUGCAGUUGAAACUGGCAGUCUUGAGUACAGUAGAGGUGGGCGGAAUGCGUGGUGUAGCGGUGAAAUGCUUAGAUAUCACGAAGAACUCCGAUUGCGAAGGCAGUUCACUGGACUGCAACUGACACUGAGGCUCGAAAGUGUGGGUAUCAAACAGGAUUAGAUACCCCGGUAGUC
rnacentral:rRNA from 1 species